UACGGAGGGUCCAAGCGUUGUCCGGAUUUAUUGGGUUUAAAGGGUACGUAGGCGGGACUUUAAGUCAGUGGUGAAAGCCUCCAGCUUAACUGGAGAAUUGCCAUUGAAACUGAAGUUCUUGAGUAUGGAUGAGGUGGUUGGAAUAUAACAUGUAGCGGUGAAAUGCAUAGAUAUGUUAUAGAACACCGAUUGCGAAGGCAGAUCACUAAACCAUUACUGACGCUGAGGUACGAAAGCGUGGGGAGCGAACAGG
rnacentral:rRNA from 1 species